rnacentral:rRNA from 1 species
GAUGAACGCUGGCGGCGUGCCUAAUACAUGCAAGUCGAGCGAACAGACGAGGAGCUUGCUCCUCUGACGUUAGCGGCGGACGGGUGAGUAACACGUGGCUAACCUACCUAUAAGACUGGGAUAACUUCGGGAAACCGGAGCUAAUACCGGAUAAUAUAUUGAACCGCAUGGUUCAAUAGUGAAAGACGGUUUUGCUGUCACUUAUAGAUGGAUCCGCGCCGCAUUAGCUAGUUGGUAAGGUAACGGCUUACCAAGGCAACGAUGCGUAGCCGACCUGAGAGGGUGAUCGGCCACACUGGGACUGAGACACGGUCCAGACUCCUACGGGAGGCAGCAGUAGGGAAUCUUCCGCAAUGGGCGAAAGCCUGACGGAGCAACGCCGCGUGAGUGAUGAAGGUCUUCGGAUCGUAAAACUCUGUUAUUAGGGAAGAACAAAUGUGUAAGUAACUAUGCACGUCUUGACGGUACCUAAUCAGAAAGCCACGGCUAACUACGUG